rnacentral:misc_RNA from 1 species
AAAAAAAAAAAAACCUUAGAUAUGGUGUAUUUAAUUUGAUCAAUAGAUUUAAUUAAGCUCAAAACCGAACUGUGGCCAGCUCUAUCACAAAUAUUAUUGUACAAGAAUUUAAUUUUUCUAUCCAGAAGAGAGAAAGAAACUAUUUAGCAGAUAUGGUAGAUGCUGAAGCAUAUUCUUGUUUUCCUGGUUUCACCAUUUUGAGAUAAAAGCCAAUACUUUCACAUGAGGAGCCAGCCACUAUACAGGGACAAGAAAAUGCUGAAGCUGUUAGGCUAAAAAAUUGAAGAGAUUCGUUGAUAGAGAGUAACAUGCAUGUGAUGUGCCCGUUGUAGGCACUGGAAUAUUCAUCAUCUUCUGAUUUGUUGUUGUUGAUGAAUGAAUGAAUACUAGUAAUAUAAUCCUUCCAGGGUUUGAGAAGAGCCCAUGCCUACAUAACAUGUAGAUGCAUUGUGCACGUAAUCUUGUAGCAAUGGGCGUCUGGCCCUGGCUGUGUGGACUGG